GUAAGUCUUCCAUCUCUUUCCUCCUUUCUUCAAUUCUUUUAGGUUUUAGAACUUUCACUUUUGUUUAAGUUUUUGAUUCUUCAAUUCUUUAUGAUAGGUUUCGACAACGGAAGAGGGAGAAUCGGGGUCGUAGAAGAGGUGGAGGAGGGUGUUGGAGGUGGAAGCGUCAUUGAAACCGCCGGCGUCGCACCCUUGCUACUGUCGCAAUCGAAGCAUCUAUUUCGAAAUCCUUGGAAAGGGAAGCUUGACGGCGGAGGUUUCUGGAGAAACUAAAUUGACGGCGGCGAGGUGGAGGAAGGAGGCGGGACUGUUAGUCGGAGUUCUCCUUGUUUGGAUCAUUGGCUAAUGUGGGAGCAAUGGUUGGUGCAAUUGCUAGUGGUCAGAUUUCUGAAUACAUUGGGCGCAAAGGGUCACUGAUGAUUGCUUCAAUCCCAAAUAUCAUUGGAUGGUUGGUCGUAUCAUUUUCGAGAGAUAUCUCAUUUCUGUACAUGGGGCGA